rnacentral:rRNA from 1 species
UACGGGGGGAGCAAGCGUUGUUCGGAUUUACUGGGCGUAAAGGGCGCGUAGGCGGCCACCGCAAGUCGACUGUGAAAUCUCCGGGCUUAACCCGGAAAGGUCAGCCGAUACUGCGGGGCUAGAGUGCAGAAGGGGCAACUGGAAUUCUCGGUGUAGCGGUGAAAUGCGUAGAGUAUCGAGAGGAACACCUGCGGCGAAGGCGGGUUGCUGGGCUGACACUGACGCUGAAGCGCGAAAGCUAGGGGAGCGAACGGG